AUUGAACGCUGGCGGCACGCUUAACACAUGCAAGUCGAACGCGAAAGUCCUUCGGGCGAGUAGAGUGGCGGACGGGUGAGUAACGCGUGGGAAUCUACCCUAGAGCGGGGGACAACCCGGGGAAACCCGGGCUAAUACCGCAUACGUCCUACGGGAGAAAGAGGGCCUCUGCUUGCACGCUCUCACUCCAGGAUGAGCCCACGUCCGAUUAGCUAGUUGGUAGGGUAAAGGCCUACCAAGGCCACGAUCGGUAGCUGGUCUGAGAGGAUGAUCAGCCACACUGGGACUGAGACACGGCCCAGACUCCUACGGGAGGCAGCAGUGGGGAAUAUUGGACAAUGGGCGCAAGCCUGAUCCAGCAAUGCCGCGUGUGUGAAGAAGGCCUGCGGGUUGUAAAGCACUUUCAGUGGGGAAGAACAGAUUCGGGUCAAUACCCCGGAGCCCUGACGUUACCCACAGAAGAAGCACCGGCUAACUCCGUG
rnacentral:rRNA from 1 species